UACAGAGGGUGCAAACGUUGUUCGGAAUCACUGGGCCUAAAGCGCACGUAGGCGGCCUCGUAAGUGUCGGAUGAAAUCCCACGGCUUACCCGUGGAACGGUCCGGCAUACUGCGAGGCUCGAGGAUGGUAGAGGAGAGCGGAACUCUUGGUGGAGCGGUGAAAUGCGUAGAUAUCAAGAGGAACACCGGUGGCGAAGGCGGCUCUCUGGUCCAUGUCUGACGCUGAGGUGCGAAAGCCAGGGGAGCAAACGGG
rnacentral:rRNA from 1 species